CCUACGGGAGGCAGCAGUGAGGAAUAUUGGUCAAUGGGCGGAAGCCUGAACCAGCCAAGUAGCGUGCAGGAUGACGGCCCUACGGGUUGUAAACUGCUUUUAUACGGGAAUAACGCGCCUUACGUGUAGGGCUUUGCAUGUACCGUAUGAAUAAGGACCGGCUAAUUCCGUGCCAGCAGCCGCGGUAAUACGGAAGGUCCGGGCGUUAUCCGGAUUUAUUGGGUUUAAAGGGUGCGUAGGCCGGAUGCCAAGUUUGCGGUGAAAUGCCCGGGCUCAACCCGGGCCUUGCAGCGCGUACUGGCGUGCUUGAGACCGCGGAAAGCAGGCGGAA
rnacentral:rRNA from 1 species